UACGUAGGGUCCGAGCGUUGUCCGGAAUUACUGGGCGUAAAGAGCUCGUAGGCGGCUUGUCGCGUCGACCGUGAAAACUCGCAGCUCAACUGCGAGCCUGCGGUCGAUACGGGCAGGCUAGAGUUCGGUAGGGGAGACUGGAAUUCCUGGUGUAGCGGUGAAAUGCGCAGAUAUCAGGAGGAACACCGGUGGCGAAGGCGGAUCUCUGGGCCAUUACUGACGCUGAGGAGCGAAAGCGUGGGGAGCGAACAGG
rnacentral:rRNA from 1 species